UUAAACCGCUGCAUAUAUAUGUUAAAGACUCGGUGGAGUGCUCUAAGACUCGCCUCCGGCUGGUAGCCAAGACGAGCUCGGAUUUCUGAUAAAAAAUUAAUUAAAAGUCCAAACCUCUAUUUGCAACAUAAAAGUUGAAUUUAGGCAUUUUUCCCCUCAUUUGUUUGACCAGAAAGCCUGGUUAUUUACUCAAACCUCCUCGACAUAGAUUUCUAUCUUGUUUAUUCAAAUCAAACCUGGUGCUAAUUGAUCCUGAUUCCGUCUUCCAAAAGACCCCUAUACACAAAAAUCAUCGGUUCAUGUGAGUAAUAUGAGUUUAUUCUUCAAAUACUAAGCAAUCCACCAUUGCAUCGAUUUCUCCCUCUUUUUUUGCUCAAAUUUAUUGAAACUGCGUUACCUUUUCAUUAUGAUUCAACUCUCUGCAAUAGCCCCAUACUGAUUUGUUUGAUCAGUGGCUCAAAAUUU
rnacentral:lncRNA from 1 species